rnacentral:rRNA from 1 species
GGAGUUAGCCGGUGCUUCUUCUGUGAGUGAUGUCCUUCCUGCCGGCUAUUAACCCGCAGGCCUUCUUCCUCACUGAAAGUGCUUUACAACCCGAAGGCCUUCUUCACACACGCGGCAUGGCUGGAUCAGGGUUGCCCCCAUUGUCCAAUAUUCCCCACUGCUGCCUCCCGUAGGAGUCUGGGCCGUGUCUCAGUCCCAGUGUGGCUGAUCAUCCUCUCAGACCAGCUACGGAUCGUCGCCUUGGUGAGCCGUUACCUCACCAACCAGCUAAUCCGACAUAGGCUCAUCCGAUAGCGCGAGGCCCGAAGGUCCCCCGCUUUCCCCCGUAGGGCGUAUGCGGUAUUAGCCUGGGUUUCCCCAGGUUAUCCCCCGACUACCGGGCAGAUUCCUAUGCAUUACUCACCCGUCCGCCGCUCGCCACCAGGGAGCAAGCUCCCCGUGCUGCCGCUCGACUUGCAUGUGUUAGGCCUGCCGCCAGCGUUCAAUCUGAGCCAGGAUCAAACUCUGA